rnacentral:lncRNA from 1 species
CGGCGCUUUUUUUUUGCUGCUUGGGGCAGCAAAAAAGCUAGAGCCGGCCCUGAUCAUUUGUUACUGGAUUUCUCUUUCUCGCUCCUCUGUUCUCAACAAUCCCACUGGACUUUCCAAACCGGUGUUAAAAAGCCGUUGAAAAUAGGCAAAACAAAUUUUCCUCAUCUCCAAUCUUGGCCUCCUCUGAUCAGCAUUAAGGGACCGUUAAAGUGCGCAGUAUAUAGCAUCUUGCUGACUAGUUUCAAAUUGCUGAGAUUCAGACACAGGAAACGUUUCCACUGGCCUUCACUCCACUGCAAUUAGAAAGGUAAGGUCAAACAAAUACACCUCUACCUCGAUAUAACGCUGUCCUCGGGAGCCAAAAAACCUUACUGUGUUAUAGGUGAAACUGCGUUAUAUUCAACUUGCUUUGAUCCACCAGAGUGUGCAGCCCUGCCUCCCCAGAGCACUGCUUUACCGCAUUAUAUCCGAAUUUGUGUUAUAUCGGGUCGUGUUAUAUCGGGGUAGAGGUGUACAUGCUAGUACUGUUCCCUGCUUCCUCCCAAUGGUUUCUGACCCCGUGUAUAUCAGCUGGCUAUGGGCAGUGCAUAACCUAGAUCUGUUCCAGAGAUCAAAAGAGUCACCAGUUUAAAGACAGCCGAUGUAGUCAUUAGCUGCUUGUGAUGUUCUGCCUCCUGUUAUGAAGGUCAAUGCAAAAUCAGAGAUGUUUUGGUUUUUUAAGUGUCAUGCUAACACAUUGACAACAAACAAAACAAAAGCUCCACCUAAUCAUGGAAGAGGGAGAGCACAGAUAGUGUCAUUUUAAUCUUCCCCAUAUGUGCUUCCACCAGCUGGGAGCCUUCCAACUUUGAU